rnacentral:lncRNA from 1 species
GAGACCCGAAGGAGGCGAGGGGAUGAGCCAUGCUUGGAGAUGUCUGUAGGGGAACAGCUUAUGCACAGGCCACAAAGCCGAAGCAUGUGGGCCAGGCCUGUUCCAGGAACAGCAAAGAGGCUGGGGAAGAGAGGAGAGAAAUGGGACCAUGGGAGGGAGUUGAACUGCAGUGCGGGAGAGCUGAAGUGGAGGCAGGGGCAGAAGCAGGGAGACCUGAUAACUGACUGUUGCAAUCAAGCAGUGCCUUUCACCUCCUGCCAUGAUUCUGAGACCUCCCCAGCCAUGUGGAAAUUUGAAGGCCUGAAUAAAACAGAAAGACUGGCCUCCCUAAGCAAGAUGGAAUUCUCCGGCAGGCUGCCUUCAAACUGCACCAUUGGCUCUCCUGGGUCAUCAGCCUGCAGGCCCACACUGUGGGAUUCGGGCUUGCCAGCCUUCAUAAUUAGGUCAGUGGAUUCAAAACGAUGAAAGUGGAUUCAAAACCUCUGUCAAGGGGUGCUGUCCUUUCCUGGCCAAGUCUCUUUUAUUCUCUUAGGGCUGCAACCUCUUCACCUGGGAAAUGAAUGGUCCUGUGAUUUACAAGAGCAGGGUCCAGGCUGAAGGUGCAGGCCCUAUCCAAGACACAACAUUUCCAGUGGCAGAGAUAAAAAAGUAAGAUUUCAGACUCAAACAUGCAAUGGCACUCCAAGUUUCUGCUUCGAACUGGCAUGUAUCUCUCUAGCUCACAUUUCAUUGGCCAAAGGAAGUCAUGUGGUUAAGCUUGACAAUGGGCUGGGGAAGUGCACUCCUUCCUCUGGAAGGUACACAAGUCACAUGGCAACUGGCUAGGAUGGAUAAUUCUCUUACUGGCCAAGGGAAGGGCAAAUAAUGGAGAAAAAUAAUACGUCAACCACAGGGGUUGAGUAACUUUCCCAAGAUCAAACCACUGGGAAGGGACAGAGGCAGAUUCAAACUCAGACAGUCUCCAAAGCCAUAGUGAACUCCAUGGCUCCCUACUGCCUGUUAGAUGGAAUCCAAAUAUAUUUAAGCUUUAGGGCAUUCCUGCAGCCUGGAGGGCCCUUCUACCUAAUUUGUGUGCUGAAUUCACUCUUUAAGGCUCCACUCCAAUCUCAA